rnacentral:rRNA from 1 species
UACGUAGGGGGCAAGCGUUGUCCGGAAUCAUUGGGCGUAAAGAGCGUGUAGGCGGCCCGGUAAGUCCGCUGUGAAAGUCCAGGGCUCAACCCUGGAAUGCCGGUGGAAACUGUCGGGCUAGAGUCCGGAAGAGGCGAGUGGAAUUCCUGGUGUAGCGGUGAAAUGCGCAGAUAUCAGGAGGAACACCAAUGGCGAAGGCAGCUUGCUACACGGUAAUUGACACUCAGGCACGAAAGCGUGGGGAGCAAACAGG